AAGAGCCGAACAAUUCCAGUGUAGUUGAUCUAAAACUUUAAUUACUUAAAAAAAGCAAAAGAAAACUUACUGAGAAAAUUGUUCCUUCUCCUUCAAAUCAAAUUGUAAACCCUCCGUCAAUUGAAGGAACUUGUAAAUCCAAAUUCUAAACAACUGAGGCAGCGGAAAGAACAGGUAAAUCCCCCAAUUUAUUUAUUUUCAAUCUCUAUGAUUCUAUUACUAUUGUUGCUUCACAUGCAUGUCCUUAAAUGGAAAUGGAAUUGGAGAAAGCAAUAGUAUAAUGGGGCCAUCAGCUGCUUCAGCUUGCUUUGGUAGUGCUAAAACUCACAACUAGAUACAGAGAAUUCGCUAUUAUGCGAGUUUAGUUCCUAUUAAUUCCUCCGCCAUUACGAUUCACUUUCUCUGCUCCAAUAUCGAAUGUUAUGUUUUUUUUUAAGUAAGCAAAAAGCUUCCCUGAAUUUUUGUGACGAAUGGGUAGUUUUGUUUUAGCCUAUUGUUGAUAUUUCUAGGUGUUGGGUGUCUUUAAAUCUUUUGUUAUAUUUACUAUGCAGUAAAUUCUUGACUCAUAACAACAAGAGAGACUAGUAGCAAUUGAAAAUUUAAAAAAAAAAAUGCUUUACGUUCUUUUGAUCUCAUUUACCAUUUUUCCCCCAUAAGCUUGUUUUUUAUAACACUAAUGCCUCUAUGGACUUGGAAUGGGUCUUGAAUAGGAUUUCUUCUGUCCAUGAUUCUUCAUCAGAGAAUGCCAAUUAACAACCAAGAAUUUGGCUUCUUUUUGCAUAUCAUUCAAUCGACCUUAUUUAAGGUUAUGACGCUUCAUAUUUUAUUUUGCUCCUUGUAAUAUGCCUUGUUGUAGUCUCAUAUAUUUUUUUAAAUAAAAUAUUUAUUGUAGUCUCAUAUUAUUACAUUACAAGUUUGCAAUAGGAGGUAUCUGUAAAUGAGUUUAUUUAAAUUCCAUUUCAUGUUAAUCAGAACAGUAUAUUCUGGAUGGUGAUUCAUCCAUCCUCGAAAUAGGUCUUGGGUAAAAGUCUUGAAUUUCCUGAGACUUUUGACAUGUCUGAUUCAAAGACUAGCCCAGGUAGUGGUGCUAAUAAGACCCAGAAGCGAAAUCUUCCAUCAUGNNNNN
rnacentral:lncRNA from 1 species